GUGCUCACUUCAGCAGCACACAUACUAAAAAAUUGGAAUGACAGAGAGAAGAUUAGCAUGGUCCCUGCUCAAGGAUGAUAGCAAAUUCGUGAUGCAUUCCAUAUUGCU
ensembl:snRNA U6 U6 spliceosomal RNA